UCAAAUAUAUUACAUCAUCCCCAACUCCUAUUCUAUACAAAUAUUUAUAAGGCCAUACAUUGGCCAUCCAAGGCGGGUUUGUACAAGUUAACCCUUGCACCAGUUCAUAUGGCACAAAGUGCCUAAAUACACCAAAUCUAACCAUAAGAGAAGCUCGUGAUGGACUCAGUGAAGUGACUGAAAUAGCGGACCUACUGAAUGCCAAAAUUGGUCCGUUGUUGGAUGACCUGCCACAUAGCUUUGUGGCCUAUUUAUCUACACAUGGUAUACAAAUGGGUGAGUCGUCUAAUACUCAAUGAGUGGUGCAGAUAAACAAAAUUAUAUAAAUAUAUAAACACACACACAUAUAUAUAUAUAUAUAAAUAUUUCACUAUCAGUGCAUUUAAUUAUUCUAACAAAGGCAUAUCAUUAUCCCUAAGGUCUCUAAUGUGAGGGCAUAUCAUCAUCCUCAAUGUCUCCCAAAACUACCACACACGUCAUUAGGCUUGUUGUCAAAGCCAAUCUAAGUUAUUCAAAUCAUUCUCCAUGGCACACUCUAUGUCACAACCCGGUACUCCCCUCGAGCCAGUGACAACCGUCGCGACGUCCUAGUAGACAUUCGUUACCCAGAGUGCCAAUCGGAACCCCGCAAGGCUUUAGUACCAUUUUUUUUUCUUCUCCCCUGUAAGUAAUCAUCGCCAAACCUCGUUUUUAAACAAUUUCGCCUCACAGGGGCGUUUUCAUCAUUUUUCCUCAAAAUUUUUCGAACCUAAUUAAAGAUGUAGUAGAUGAGCGAAAAACACAUAUUUCAUGAUUUAAAAUAAAUUUGGGUGUCUAAAACAUUUAUUAAAAAUGAUAAUGCAACUAUUUGAAUAAAAUAAAAAUAUUCAAUAAAAUAUUCUAAUUUCUUGUAGAAUAAUAUUUAUAGAGUCAUCGGUAAAUAAUGUUUGUAAUGUAAAAGUUAAAUAAAUUCAUAUGUAUUAUAAUACAUAUAACCGGGAUAUGAAAUUUACUUUACAGUGACUCGUGGGCCCACAAGGAACAAAAGUGCACAAAGGCAGUAAACCUACAAUUUUUGGAGUAGUAAAGCCGACUAUAAUCAUUGACGAUAUCUGCUAUCCACAGGCUACCUCGGGCCUGAAAUGGUUGAAAAUGAGGGUGGUGAGAUUAUAAAAUCCCAGUGAGUAAACAGAUACCAUCUAAACCAUAUAAAGUCGAGUAAAUGGAGACAGAUAAAAUAGUUUAACAUACUGAAAUUCAUCACCUUUCAACUUGUUUCAACCAAAUAAAAUCAAUUUAUAUAAAUCGAGUAAUUAACAAGGCUUAUGAAUUUCUUAAAACUUUAGCUCGUGCCAAAAUCAUUAUCAUACUCAGUCAUCAGGGAUACCUUGGCUGAGGGCUAUCCCAAACUGAGUCCACCAAGGCUAUUAAAAGGUUAUGUACUCAUAAAUCAUGUUUUUAUUUUGAAAAUAUAGCCGUUCCUUGGCGUUGGUUGAGUUGGCCCUCACGUGGUGGUUUGGCGUGAAGUGAACUCUAAAAGCUAUACCUUGGGAGUUACCCUACUUGCCUCUCCAACCGAGGUAAGAAUAUGACCAGGUUUCGUGCCCCUCUAAUAGGCUAGUCCACAGAACCAGCCCACUGCAACAAGCUAAACCCACCAUACAAUAAAAUUUAACAACAUGACAUGGUAAUUUUAUCAUUAUCCAGCCUAUCAAGGCAAACAACAGUUUAUACAUUUUCAACGCAAAUACCAAUUCAGCCAUUCAUGCCAAUAUUGCCAUAAGCCAAUCAAUUAGAACCAUAAAUUCACAAUACAUCAAAUGGUCUCCAAUUACUCUAUUUUCAAAGCCAUCAUUUAAUUUCAAAACAAUUUAUAAAAUCAUUUCAUUUAAACACAUUUUAUUUAUAAAAUAAAAAAAUUAAUCAUUUAAUUCAUUUUCCAUAAAAUUCAUAAAAUCGGAUAAAAACCACUUUAGAUAAUUAAGAUGAUAGUAAGGUUACUCACAGUACUAGGAGUUCGAUAUAUGCCUAUUCCCGGUCUUCGGGCACAAUCUCUUUACCCUUGUUAGAGGGCUCACCACCUAUACAUCAUACGUGACACGAAUUUCAAUAAAUUGUGUCAAUUUAUCAUAAACUAUUUCAGGCUCUAUAAAUCUAUAUGAAUGUACGAAAUGUGAUGCAAAAUGUCCGAAUAGCCGUUUAAAUACGGUAUUCGACCUAAUUCGCACUAUUCUCGAUGUAAUUGGCUAAAACCUCUAAUUUAACUCCAAAUCGAUUUCUUUCACUUCUACACUCCAAUUAUACUUAAAAUACCUCAAUGACUGUGAAUAUGAUUCAAUUUAUCAGUCCGAACUAUAAAUCGCACAUGUCUAUACAUUAGGUAAAAAUUCAGAUUUUCAUGCCAAAAUUUCCCAUUAAAUUUCUAGCCUCACCAAUCAUUAAAUACCACCAAAAUAUCAUGAAAUAUCAUCAAUUUCAGCCUCAAUAUCCUCCCUAGAAAAUUCAGCCUCUUGUGGGUUUGUGAAGAACAAAGUGAUUCCUUGCUAGAUUUUCAUACUUUCCAUUACCAAACAACCAAAAACACUUAAUUAGCUUGAAAUCUAGCAAAAUCAAUGCUCAAAACCUCUCCUCUCAAAUUUGGCCAACAUGGGUUCAUCAUGCAAACUUGAGUUCUAAGCAUGGAAAAUGAAAAAGAAAGCAUGGGUAGUGUAAAUCACAAGAUAAAAUCACAAAAUUUUACCUUUAUUAGCUUAAUCCCUUGAAAUCCCACACUUUUUCUUCAAUUUUCCCACCUAGGGUUUGUGUUCUUUCCUUUCCUCUUCACUUCAU
rnacentral:lncRNA from 1 species